rnacentral:lncRNA from 1 species
UUUUUUUAUAUUUUUAAAUAAAUAAUUUUAUUCAUAAUUUAUUAAUAUUUAAUAAUAUUUUUAUCCUAUUGGAUGAGGAAGUGGACACUGUUCCUGCCAAGUCAGUAAUUAACAGACAAAUCGACGGACUUUUUAAAUAGAGGUAUAACAUUAUAACGAAUUCGUAAGUUGGUGUAUAAUAUUGUAAUGUUUAAACAAUAAGGUAUGAGUUUAUUAUAGGAUCCAGAGUUGAGGUGGUAAAGCGUAAUUUACCUUCUUUUUUUCAAAGUUAAAAUGCUACCAGAAAAUAACUUAAUGUACACAAUUGGAUACAUACAAAUUGAUAAUGACUGUAUGAUUUGUUUAAUAAUGCAAUUUGUACUACUUUUAUUAGCUCUCCAAUAGAGGUGAACACUCCAUACCUAUAUAUGUGGGACUCACUUGUAAUAGAAAGGUGACUAGUAAUGUAAAAGGUUCUUAGUACUACAAUCUUGUGGUAUUUAUCUUCAUUUGCAAGUAUGAUGUCUUAGGUUUGAAUCUCAUAGAUAACGAGUUCGAAACCAAUUUACUAUCUCACCCCUUAAUGUAGUUAUAUUAUUGUGAAAAAAAGGAUCUAAAUAUUAUCACUUUUUUCUUUUUCUUGUGCAACUAUAGCAUAAGGCUAGAAAGAAGUUAUGGCAUGGACCAUAUUGACCAAGGACCUAGGGGUGGGUUCAAAAAACUGAAAACCGAAC